GGCAUCUCCAACAUGUUUUGCCACACCUGUUCAUAAAAAAAGUUUAUUCAUUUUGUUUUUUUUAUUUUCUUAAAGACAGGGUCACCCAGGAAAGAGAGCAGUGGCGCAAUGACAGCUCACUGCAGCCUCAAACUCCUGGACUCAAGCGAUCCUCCCUUGUGAGCCUCCCCAGUAGGUGGGACUACAGGUGCGUGCUAAGACAGCCGGCUAAUUUUUUUUUUUUUUUUUUCAGUAGAGACAGGUGGGUCUUGAACUCUUGGGCUCAUGCCUCAGCCUCCCAAAGUUCUGGGAUUACAGUCAUUACUGUGUUCAGAACAAUCCUGUGCUAAAUCUGUAACACUAUAAUAAACUUAAAACAAGGUCAUAGCCAAACCUACAGAAGAAUACACAAGGACCAAAAAGGAACAAAAACCACUAAACCCCACAAUAUCAAAUCACUACAAAUGCCAGAAAACACAUAUAACACUAAAUUUUACCAUGUUAUUUGGUCUAGUCCGUUUUUGCAUUUCUCCUCUAAGUAACUGUAGUUUUUUAUUAUUGCUCUACACAUCAUUUAGAAAAAAUUAAUCGGUGGCACAGGACCAUACGCAAAACACACACACACACAAUAAACAAUGACAAAAGUCUAUUUCAGUCAAAAAUGAGAGAGAAAAGUAUAAAAGGCAGUUCCAAAGAGCAUAUAACUCCUCAUUAUCACUUCUUUUUUUUGAGGGAGGGAGUCAGGGUCUCACUCUAUUGCCCAGGCUGGAGUGCAGUGGUGUGAUCAUGGCUUAGCUCACUGCAGCCUUGACCUCCCGGGCUCAAGUGAUCCUCCCACCUCAGCCUCCCAAGUAGCUAGGAGGGUAGGCACAUACCACCAUGCCGGGGUAAUUUUUUUUUCUUUUUUUUUUUUUUUUUAGAAAGUGUCUUACCAUGUUGCCCAGGCUAGUUUUGAACUCCUGGGCUCAAGUGAUCCUCCCACCUCAGCCUCCCAAAGUGCUGGGAUUAUAGGCAUGAACCACCAUGCCUGGCCCAUUAUUACUUCUUAUGGGCUGAAUUGUGUCCCCUAACUCCCAAUACCAUAAAAUAUGACUGCAGUUGGAGACAGGGCCUUUAUAUAUGUGAUAAUACCUUAAAACAUUACUGUACUUGGAGGCAGGGCCUUUAAAUAUGUGACGAUUAAUUUAAAAUAAGGCCUCUGGAGUGGCCCUGAAUCUAACUGGUGCUCUUAUAAAGAAAUCUGAAUACAAAAGGAAACACCAAGGAUACCUAUACACAGGAGGCCAUGAGAGGGAGGACACAGUGUGAAGAUGACCAUGUGCAAGCCAAAGAGAGAGGCCCCAAGAUAAACCAAAUCUGCUGACACUUACUCUUAGACUUUUAAUCUCGGAAACCAUGAGAAAAUAAAUUUCUGUUUUUAAGCCACCCAGUCUGUGAUAUUUGGUUACAGCAGCCCCGGCAAACUAAUGCAUCACUCAGUUUGAUCUCCAUAAUGCAUCACAUCUCAUCCCUCACCCAAAUUAUGAAAAUAGCAUCUUCGUAGGUCUUUCAACUGCUGCCUUGCCAUUAUACUCCAUUUUGAAAACAUCAUCCGAGUGAUCUUUGCAGCUGUUGACUCUCUACUUAAAACCUCCUCUUCUCAUUC
rnacentral:lncRNA from 10 species